AUGGGCGAUGCUGCAAAAUCUUGCUAUACGAGACGUAAUAAGGACUGGGGACUUACAAAUGAGGAGGAUUUCCAGAAAUGUGCUUCACGUCAAGUGAUGGACGAUUGUGGAAAUGGACACAGUAGCAAAGUGGACACCAGAUUUGAAAAAAGAAAGGGAACAUCAAGUGAUUAUGGAACAAGUCCUAGAAAGGGAGCACAUGCUGCUUUGAAUAGUCCAAAUUCUUCAAAAAACAUUGUUUACAAUCAAGGGGCAAGAAUAAAUGAUUCUUCAAAAGACCAAAUUAAGAAAUGGGUGUCUGACAACCAUCAAGCUAAUUCCAGCAGUUGGAGAGAAUUCAAAUCCACAGCCCGGAUACCUGUGAUUAUCAGACCACGGAAAGAGUUUCCUCAUGAAUGUGAGAGUUUUGGAGGCAGAAGUGGAAGAAGGCAGCUCUUUAGAGACCUCACAAGUGAAGAUUUAUCUGAUAGAAAAGGAAAUUCUGAAAUGAAGAAACAUAGGAAACCAAGGAGAUCAAGAAGAAUAAAAAAAGAAGACAAUGAUCAGGAUGAUGAACUGGAUGGCCCUGUUAUAGAUGAGUCUUUACUGACAGCAGAAGAAUUACUGGGGUUGCAGCAGGCUGAAGAACGACUUAAGGGAGACUACAUUUAUAGACUGAGGAAGCGACCUCGAAGCAACCCAACAGCUAAAUAUACUUGCAGGUUAUGUGACGUAUUGAUUGAGUCAGUGGCAUUUGCUCAUAAGCAUAUCAAGGAAAAAAGACACAAGAAAAACAUAAAGGAAAAACAAGAACAAGAACUGCUGAAUGCACUUCCUUCACCAACAGUUUUGCAAAUUGAAGCUAUUGGUAUAGCCGUUCAAAAAGUAGUAGAAGAGUUUGGAUUAAAUAAUGAAGAUGUAGAACAAAGGCUUGGAAUCAAAACUACUAUGGAGAAUGUAUUUCAACCAAAACUGCCAGAUUGUUCUCUAAGGUUGUAUGGUUCUUCCUGGAGCAGAUUUGGCUUUAAAAAUUCUGAUAUAAAUCUCGAUAUCCAGUUUCCAUCCAGUAUGUCCCAACCAGAUGUUCUCUUACUUGGACAAGAAAGCUUGAAGAGCAGUGAAUCUUUUAUUGAUGUUGAUGCAGAUUUCCAUGCUAAAGUGCCUGUGGUGGUGUGCAAAGAAAAACAAAGUGGCCUUGUUUGCAGAGUAAGUGCAGGAAAUGAUAAUGCUUGUCUGACGACCAAUCACUUGGCUAUGCUUGGAAGAUUAGAGCCUCAUCUUGUGUCCUUGGUCAUUGCUUUCAGACACUGGGCCAAGGUAGUAAGGAGAUGCAUCCUGCAUAUCUCAAAAUGGAUGAUUGGAGGAUUUUCAUUAAACAAAUUAGUGAAUUUUAAUCUUAAAAAAGUUGAAAAUAAUACUGUGGUCUGGGAAUACAGCCCUGGUAUUGAUCCCAGUUCUUCAAAGGAAUCUUCUCCUAAAAGGGGAAAGGUUCCUUUAGUAUUUGAUUCAGAUCAACAGUGUUCAGUUCCAAUUGGACAGCUAUGGGUUGAACUGCUUCGUUUUUAUGCCUUGGAGUUUAAUCUGUCUGACUUGGUGAUAAGCAUACGGCUCAAAGAAAAACUAGCUCGUGAAUCCAAGGACUGGCCUAAAAAAAGAAUUGCUGUGGAAGAUCCUUAUUCCGUAAAGAGGAAUGUGGCAAGAACUCUUAAUAGUCAGUUAGUAUAUGAGUAUAUACUUCAUUGUUUACGGUCAACUUACAAGUAUUUUGCCUUGCCUCAUAAACAGAAUGCAAAAAACAACCAAAUACAAUCUCUAGAGGGCUCAAUACCUCUAGAACCUGAGAAGAAUGCCUUUAAGCAAACAGUCCCUGAUAUAAAAAAUGACCAUAAUGAAAUGGAGAAUACUGUAAUAGACAGCUGUAUAACUUCUACCAAGAAAAGUUCAUAUUUUCCUGAAGAACAUAUGUGUGAGCCUUCUCAGGUAUUUAUUGAUGAAAACUUUGUGGAAGAACAGUUGGCAGAUGGUGAACAUUUAGGAAUGUCUUAUGAGGACUCAGAUUGCAUAAUUGAAGAAUUCAUUUCGGGUGACAAUGAGGAAUUUAAACCAAGCUGUGAAGAGACUGAGAGUGGAAAUGAAGAGGAGGAAGAGGGGCAUGUACAGGAACAUUUGGAUAGUAACCAAGACAGUGAAAGUGGAGAUCUUGCUAUUCGAAUUAGUGAGCAUGAUGUUGAAACAGACAGCAUUUCUGAUUUGGAAAAUUUUCAAAAUGUAAUAACUGUCCUUGAGGAGUUUGGUUUAGAAGACAGUGGUAUUCCAAAUGAUAAACUUGACAUUAAUGAAGUGAGCACAGAAGGUACUGAUGAACUGGAUGAUUCCCUGUUCAAACUGGAACCGCCAACUCAGGAACAAGUAUCUGAAAUGGAUAACUCGGAAGAAGAUGAGGAGGAAGAAACAGAGGAAGAAGACGAAGAGCAUAGUAUUAAAAACCAAGGGCAACAUGAGAACAUAAUCAAUACCGAAGAUGAGCUGGACAAUACAUACACUGGAUCUGGUGUUGAAGAACCUCUUUCCGAAGAGGAAUUGCUUAUUGCUCAUGGGGACAUUGCGCUAAAGAAGAGAGUAGAUGAAUUUUCAAGUGUAGAUUUGAACAAAGAAGAUGAUCCUGAAAAAGAAGUUCUUACUGAAAGCGACAAGCCAGUAGACCAGAGUAAUAAGCUUGAAUUCUUCUAUGAAUUUAAUAAAGCUGCUUUCACAAAAGGCAAGACUCCUACAGUUGUAUGCAGUUUAUGUAAGCGAGAAGGUCAUCUAAAGAGGGACUGUCCAGAAGACUUUAAAAAAAUUGAACUGGAUCCUUUGCCACCAUUAACGUCCAAGUUUUCUAGUAUUCUGGAUCAAGUGUGCAUUCAAUGUUACAAAGAUUUUGCUCCAAAUGUUAUAGAAGACCAGGCUCGGGAAUAUAUAAGACAAAAUCUUGAAGGUUUCAUCCGACAAGAAUUUCCAGGCACAAAAUUAAACUUGUUUGGGUCUUCAAAGAAUGGAUUUGGCUUCAAGCAAAGCGAUCUUGAUAUUUGUAUGACAAUUGAUGGUCUGGAAACUGCUGAGGGACUUGAUUGUAUAAGAAUUAUUAAAGAACUUGCAAGAGUGUUGAAGAAACAUUCAGGUUUAAGAAAUAUCUUACCCAUAACAACUGCUAAAGUGCCGAUUGUCAAGUUUUUUCAUAUCCGAAGUGGCCUUGAAGUAGACAUCAGUCUGUAUAACACAUUGGCUCUGCAUAACACAAGGCUCUUGUCUUGUUAUGCCACAAUUGAUCCCAGAGUAAAAUAUCUUUGCUACACAAUGAAAGUAUUUACAAAGAUGUGCGACAUUGGUGAUGCAUCCAGAGGGAGCUUAUCUUCCUAUGCAUAUACGCUAAUGGUGCUCUAUUUUCUUCAGCAGAGAAGUCCACCUGUUAUUCCAGUUCUUCAAGAGAUCUGUACAGAGCCAAAGAAACCUGAAAUUCUAGUUGAUGGCUGGAAUGUUUAUUUCUUUGACAGAAUAAAUGAACUGUCAGAUGUUUGGUCAGAUUUUGGUAAAAAUAAAGAAUCCAUUGGUGAAUUAUGGCUAGGACUUCUACGUUUUUAUACUGAGGAAUUUGAUUUUAAAGAGCAUGUUAUCUGCAUCCGAAGAAAAAAUUUGCUUACAACGUUCAAGAAACAGUGGACUUCGAAAUACAUAGUCAUUGAAGGUAUCUACUUUAUGAACAUUUUAUUGACAUUUUAA
ensembl:lncRNA terminal uridylyl transferase 7